GAGGGGAAAGGGCUUUAACAAGGAGAGAAUAAAUCUUGGGCUCUUCAAAUGCAACGCAGGUUCAAGUGCAAAGCUUGAGUGCUUUAAAAGGAGAACUGCAACUUACACAUUACUAGAAAAAGAGUUGGGAGAAGGGAGAAUUCUUUUCACAAAACAGUAUCAACAUGGAGACAGUAAAACCCUGGAAAAGGUAAUGGUGAAGCACUGGAGGAGUAACUCAGAGUUCUACCACAAAAAAGGCAGGAUUCAGACUCCCUCUGCAUUCAGGAGGUGCCAUGGGCCAGCAGGUGUCAUUCUGGGCAAGGACUGACCAACCACAGGUUGCCGUCACGAUGGAACCUCACUCUCCACACUCCGUAUUCUCUAUUGCCAUCACCAAAGUAAUGAAGCAUCUGAGAUGAAAGACAGUAAAAAAUUCAGUUAUCACCAUUAUGAAUUCUUCUGUUCCAGCUGCUUUGCUUCUCACUUCAAAUUACAAUCCUCUGCAUAGCCACAAUAUCCUAAGCAAUUGCACCAGAAGUGAUUAAGAUAUUACACAAAAAUGAAGGAUUAUCAAACUGAGGGAAUCCUGGCUGGAGUACAGAGAUGAACAGAUGAGUAACUCUGAUCCUGCAUGGAAAAUAAAGAAGUAAAAUACAUGUUCAACAGAAUAAACUACCAGCUGUGACACAAA